UGAGGCCACAUCAAAGGGAAACACCGGUUCCCGUCCGAUCACCGAAGUUAAGCAACAUCGAGCCUGGUCAGUAUCUAGAUGACAGACCA